GUCUACGGUCAUGCCACCCUGAACAAGCCCGAUCCCAUCUAGUCUCGGAAGAUAAGCAGGGUCGGGCCUGGUUAGUACUUGGAUGGGAGACCACCAAGGAAGACCAGGCGGCUGUAGGCA
ensembl:rRNA 5S_rRNA 5S ribosomal RNA